rnacentral:rRNA from 1 species
ACGCAMGUGACUGURCCUGCAGAAKAAGCACCGGMUAACUACSUGCCRRCAGCCGCGGUAAUACRUAGGGUGCGAGCGUUGUCCGGAUUUAUUGGGCGUAAAGAGCUUGUAGGCGGCUCGUCACGUCGGGUGUGAAAACUCGCGGCUCAACCGCGAGCCUGCACCCGAUACGGGCGGGCUAGAGUUCGGCAGGGGAGACUGGAAUUCCUGGUGUAGCGGUGGAAUGCGCAGAUAUCAGGAGGAACACCGGUGGCGAAGGCGGRUCUCUGGGCCGAUACUGACGCUGAGAAGCGAAAGCGUGGGGAGCGAACAGGAUUAGAUACCCUGGUAGUCCACGCCGUAAACGUUGGGAACUAGGUGUGGGGUCCAUUCCACGGGCUCUGUGCCGCARCUAACGCAUUAAGUUCCCCGCCUGGGGAGUACGGCCGCAAGGCUAAAACUCAAA